AGGACAAACGCUGGCGGCGUACUUAAGACAUGUAAGUCGAACGGGCGCUUCACCUUCGGGUGGGUGUGCUAGUGGCGGACGGGUGAGUAACGCGUAGGAACCUGUCAUCAAGAGGGGGGAUAACGCUGGGAAACCGGCGCUAAUACCGCAUGUGGUCAUGAAAAUGAAGAAAGCAGCAAUGCGCUUGAUGAGGGGGCCUGCGUCCGAUUAGCUUGUUGGUGGGGUAAAGGCCUACCAAGGCAUCGAUCGGUAGCUGGUCUGAGAGGAUGGUCAGCCACACUGGGACUGAGACACGGCCCAGACUCCUACGGGAGGCAGCAGUUAGGAAAUUUUCCCAAUGGGCGCAAGCCUGAGGGAGUAACGCCGCGUGGAGGAUGACGGCUUUCGGGUUGUAAACUCCUUUUCUGUGGGAGAGUAGAGACGGUACCGCAGGAAUAGCCUCGGCUAACUACGCGCCAGCAGCCGC
rnacentral:rRNA from 1 species